rnacentral:rRNA from 1 species
UCCUACGGGAGGCAGCAGUGGGGAAUUUUGGACAAUGGGGGCAACCCUGAUCCAGCAAUGCCGCGUGUGUGAAGAAGGCCUUCGGGUUGUAAAGCACUUUUGUCCGGAAAGAAAUCGCACUUACUAAUAUUAGGUGUGGAUGACGGUACCGGAAGAAUAAGGACCGGCUAACUACGUGCCAGCAGCCGCGGUAAUACGUAGGGUCCAAGCGUUAAUCGGAAUUACUGGGCGUAAAGCGUGCGCAGGCGGUUGUGCAAGACCGAUGUGAAAUCCCCGGGCUUAACCUGGGAAUUGCAUUGGUGACUGCACGGCUAGAGUGUGUCAGAGGGGGGUAGAAUUCCACGUGUAGCAGUGAAAUGCGUAGAGAUGUGGAGGAAUACCGAUGGCGAAGGCAGCCCCCUGGGAUAACACUGACGCUCAUGCACGAAAGCGUGGGGAGCAAACAGGAUUAGAUACCCUGGUAGUCCACGCCCUAAACGAUGUCAACUAGUUGUUGGGGAUUCAUUUCCUUAGUAACGUAGCUAACGCGUGAAGUUGACCGCCUGGGGAGUA